AUUAUUAUAAAGUUGAAGCACUUUGUAUCAGUCUGUCGUGGUAAUGAAGGAGCUGAGCCAAAAGGCGAAGCUCUCAAUUUACCGGUCGAUCUACGUUCCAACCCUCAUCUAUGGUCACGAGC